CUUUACUUUCUUGGGAGGUAUAUCUCUGCAUUUUCAUUUCAACUUUAUCUAACAAACAACGAGGGCCUACGCAUAGACGGUUUUGGUUUUGAAACGCGUUAUGGGAUAGCUUUAGGAUGGAUGUUAGUUAAAGGCCUAAAAGACACAUUGAAGUUGAAGUGCAAGUUUUGGGAAUGCAAUGUUAAAAGCACUUCAUGGGAGCUAAAUACUGGUGAAAUCGACCUUCCGAGGACUUUGCCUCCGUAUUUGACAACCCUCUCAUCAUAAGGCAUCCACAAGGCCAUACUGCUCCAAGGCUAGAUGAAGCAGCGUUUGAGCAACCACGCGGUUCAACUACAGCAAGCAUCCAAGGCAGUACUACUGCUUCAGAUGGUAAGCAUCAACUUGAGAACGGUGAAGCCAGAGAAAAACAUAACGGCACAGAUCUCAUUCAAUGCAAUAACGCUACGUUAGACAGUAAGCAUGAUUUGGAGAAUGGAGACACCAAAGAAAAGAUGUUUGGAACACCAGGAAACAAGCACUGCAGUUGACAUAAAAACAAAUGAAAGAAAAGUCGAGGUUGUGGAGGCAACCCAAGCAUGAAGAUCUCAAACGCCAAGAGCUGUUUUACUUGUAACUAAAUAUGUACAACGUACUAUUAACAUACAAGUACCAUUUCGUUCAAGUUGACCUUAAGAAAACAA